ACGCCCUGCGCGCUUGCCCGGCAGUCGCGCCCUCCCCGCGGCGCCCCCUCUCCCGGCCGACCCCGAGUCACCCACGGCCGCUGUCUGCCGAGGGGCAGGACCGGGGGACGGAGGAUACCUGCGAACGGCUCAGCUCGAGGUGCAGUGGUUAAGAGCUUGGCGGCCAACCAAAAGGUCAGCAGUUCAAAUCCACCAGUCACUCCUUGGAAACCCUAUGGGGCAGUUCUACACUCUCCUAUAGAGUCACUAUGAGUUGGAAUCCACUUGACAGCAACAGAUGUGGUGUUUAAAAGACACAUAUGUCAGUGAUGGAACACACAUCUUCCACCAAAGGGGUGAGCACCUCCAUGAAUAGCUGCUUCUCGGAGGACAUGAAGAUGUACCUGGUAACAACUUUGACUGAACUCUGGCAUAAGAGGUACCCCGCAGAUGUUCUUCCUGGCUGCCCAUGCCCUGACACUGCAUGGUCAGAUUUCCUGGUUGGCAUCCCCCAUAAGGAGCCCUGGUGGCAUAGUGGUUAAGAGCUUGGCUGCUAACCAAAAAAAAACCAGUUUGAAUCCACUAGCCACUUCUUGCAAGCCUAUGGGGCAGUUCUACUCCAUCCCAUGUGGUUGUUAUGAGUUGGAAUCGACUCAACAGCCAUAGUUUUGGUUCUUUUGGUUUGUUACCCCUGUAAGUGCUAAUAAACUGCUAUGCAUCGUUUUUUUACAUGGGUAGACCUUUUGCUUUUUACCUUCCUCAGAUCAUGAGAGGAAAAGCUCUCUGAUCAGGUAACUCAGCCUUGAUCAACAAAACACAGGAUUACCUGCAUAGGGCCUGAAUUCAAUGACAUGUGUCCUUAUAAGAGACAGGAGACGCCAAUGAAGAGGAGAAGAUGCACAGGGAAGAGGAUAAAAACCUUGUGAAGAUGGGUGUGGGGAUUGAAUUUAUGCAGCCAAAGGAUGAGGAACACCUGGAGUCACCCAAAGCAGGUAAGAGUGAGGAAGGAUUCCCUUCUACAGCCUUUGGAGGAAGUGUGGCCCUGUGGACAACUUAAUUUCAGAGUUUUGACUUCCAGAAUUGUGUGAGAAUAAAUUUCUGUUCUGUUAAGCAAUUGAGUUUAUGGUGACUUGUUAUGGCAGUCCUAGGAAACUAAAACAGGCACUAUACCUAGUACAUACAAAGACACUCACACAUACACACAGACAUUCCACAUUUUAUGUAAUACACAAUACCCUUAUAUAAUGGAAACAAGAGUUACACAAAGUAACAUGUACUUUUAUUAUGUGAAAUGCACUCUGAUGUUCCCCCCCAUAAUACUUUAUUAAAAACUUAAUUGGGAUCAAUUGAUUUCAUAGCCCAAUAAUAGGUACUACCUGUGGUUUGAAAAAUGACUUUCUGAAAAGACUACAGAUCAAGACCUAUUACUGGAUGUACUACUCUCUAUUUUUAAAUAUUUCUCAGUGUGUAUCUUCUAUUCUGGCAGUGAGAAGAAGGAUGGCUCACUCUCCCUUAUGCAUUAUUCUGGUUAAGUCCAUACCUCUUUUUGAGUGGGUAUAUUUCAGAUCAGCAACCUGAAGGUUUCUAAGAGCGUAUGUGUGUUAUUCAGCCAUCUAUACCUUGUGAUAGCAAGAUAAACAUUAUACUAAAAGUAUAGUUAAAAUACAUAAAUAAACAACCUGGGUUCCAGGCUAUAUAUUGAUUAAAAAAUUUAGUGAUAUAUUCUUAUAAUCUCCUUCUUUAAAUAGUUUAAUGUUAUUAGAUGCAAUUUUCCUUGGAAUUUUCAUGACAUUCACAUUGGUGUAGGGCAAUGUCCACUGAGCUGCUUAUAUAUUCCUUUCUUUUUUUCUUUCAAAAGUCUCUUCAUUCCAGGUGCCAAUAGGUGUUACUCUAAUUAACUGUUUCAUUGCUGGAUAUCAUAGGCUACCAAAUCCCUGACUCUCAUCACCAACUGAACUUUCACUGUCUUCACCCCCAAUUUUGCUGAUGAUACAUUUCAUUUUUCCCCAAUUUCCCUCAGCGCCUAUUGCUUGCAAUUGACUUCAGGGUAUCAGUUUUUAUACUAGCAAAGACGAGUCUCUUUCACUGUAAUAGGCCUUAAUUCAGUAUUUCUAUAAUAAGUGACUAGUUUAGAAAAACCAAACAAACAAACAAAACAUAGCCACCAAUGUGUUACAGAGUCUUUACUUGGCUGUAAUCUUUGCAAAAGUAAUCUUUGCAAAAGUAGGUUGGUAAACCUUUAUUCUGUGGCACCACUGGGUAGGUUUGAACUGCCAACCUUUAAGUUCCUAGUUGAGCACAAACAUCUUGUGCCACCUAGGGGCCUUUUGAAAUAAAAGUCAUCUCCAAAUCUGGUUUUACAUCAUGCUGCUAUUAAAUUCAAAGAAAAGCUAAUAUCUUAACUUUUGUCAUCUCUUUUUCUGUAAUGGUUAUAAGAGAGUUUAAUGUAAUUGCUGAAUCAUGUAAAUAUUGAAAUCAUGAAAAUAACCAGCUAAUACCUUCAAUAUUUAACCAACUCAUUUUUCUAAGGAUGACCUACAAAUAAUAUUAAUUAAUUAAAAAAUGCAGCUUAAUUGCACAUGUAUUUAAAAAAUUCUACUUUAAGUAUAUAAAUGGAUGAAAACCCUGGUGGCUAAGUGGUUAAGUGCUACGGCUGCUAACCAAAAAGUCGGCCUAUUGUAAUAUACUGAAUACUGGAUAGUAUUUCUCAGCAUUUUGGGGGAAAAUUAUGGAUUGUGGUGCCUUUACAUGCUCAGAUGACACUCUCCUGAUAGAUACAGCUCAUGCCAUAUCUAUCAAACUAGUACCAAGGACUAUUUCUCUUAUAGAGAGGAGGUGACAGCAAGUCAUCAGAUGGUUCAAGGGCAGAUCACCCUCAACUCAUUUGUAUCUGUGCUCCUAAGGGAUAGUAUGAUGAUCCCUUUGAUGAGGAGAAAAGUUGUCUUACACUGUAGCAGUGGUGGUAGCAAGAAAGGAAUUCUGUACUCUGUUGCUGUAGUUCUGCACAAUUGGCUGCAUUUUUCUUCUCAGCACCUUGUGUGUUAGUACCAUUGACAAAUAAGAAAACAAUCAUGGUAUGCACAAAAUGGCAAUAUAAGUUAAUGGAAAGUUGCAUAAUAUUUUAAAUUAAUAGUCAUGCCUUUAAAAAUUACGAAUUUUCCUGCAGCUAUCAGUGCUUUCCUGAAUUGUCACGCAUUUGCAUUUGCCUGUAGGUUUCCAUGCUCCUCCGAGACUCUGUAGUCAUUUUAGGAGUUUCUUGGUUUGCAAAAACAAAUUGAAAUUCAAUAUUCAUUCAUAAAUUAUAAGUACAAGCAUAGACCUGCAUUUUCCUUUAGAAACAACAUUGUUAAUGUUAAGAAGGUCCAAGCAAGACUAGAGAAACAUAUUUUUAGCCUUUGAAGAACAUGAG